rnacentral:rRNA from 1 species
CUAGCGACUUCAGAGUUUGAUCCUGGCUCAGGAUGAACGCUGGCGGCGUGCAUAACACAUUCAAGUCGAACGGAGUUUAGAUAAUUAAUCCUUCGGGAAGCGUUGUUUAAGCUUAGUGGCGGACGGGUGAGUAACGCGUGAGCAACCUGCCCCUUUGUGUGGAAUAACGUUUGGAAACGAACGCUAAUACCGCAUAACGCACGGAUAUCGCAUGGUAACCGUGCCAAAGAUUUAUUGCAGAGGGAUGGGCUCGCGUCUGAUUAGAUAGUUGGUGAGGUAACGGCUCACCAAGUCGACGACCAGUAGCCGGACUGAGAGGUUGAACGGCCACAUUGGAACUGAGAAACGGUCCAG